GACGAACGCUGGCGGCGUGCUUAAAACAUGCAAGUCGAGCGAGGCCCCUCCUUCGGGAGGGUGUCCUAGCGGCGAACGGGUGAGUAACACGUGGGCAACCUGCCCUCAGCUCUGGGAUAACUCCGGGAAACCGGGGCUAAUACCGGAUACGACCUCCACGGGCAUCUGCGGAGGUGGAAAGUUUUUCGGCUGAGGAUGGGCCCGCGGCCUAUCAGCUAGUUGGUGGGGUAGUGGCCCACCAAGGCGACGACGGGUAGCCGGCCUGAGAGGGCGACCGGCCACACUGGGACUGAGACACGGCCCAGACUCCUACGGGAGGCAGCAGUGGGGAAUAUUGCGCAAUGGGCGAAAGCCUGACGCAGCGACGCCGCGUGAGGGACGAAGGCCUUCGGGUUGUAAACCUCUUUCAGCAGGGACGAAGCGAAAGUGACGGUACCUGCAGAAGAAGCACCGGCCAACUACGUG
rnacentral:rRNA from 1 species